rnacentral:rRNA from 1 species
AACGAACGCUGGCGGCAUGCCUAACACAUGCCAGUCGAACGAGACCUUCGGGUCUAGUGGCGCACGGGUGCGUAACGCGUGGGAACCUGCCUUUAGGUUCGGAAUAACUCAGAGAAAUUUGAGCUAAUACCGGAUGAUGUCUUCGGACCAAAGAUUUAUCGCCUUUAGAUGGGCCCGCGUUGGAUUGGCUAGUUGGUGGGGUAAAGGCCUACCAAGGCGACGAUCCAUAGCUGGUCUGAGAGGAUGAUCAGCCACACUGGGACUGAGACACGGCCCAGACUCCUACGGGAGGCAGCAGUGGGGAAUAUUGGACAAUGGGCGAAAGCCUGAUCCAGCAAUGCCGCGUGAGUGAUGAAGGCCUUAGGGUUGUAAAGCUCUUUUAACCGAGAUGAUAAUGACAGUAUCGGGAGAAUAAGCCCCGGCUAACUCCGUG